rnacentral:tRNA from 1 species
UGGCAUGUGCGCCAUCUGGUAGGCGGACUCACUGUUAAUGAGUUGCAUGUCGGUUCGAGUCCGACCUUGCCAGCCA